GGAUGUGAUCAUACCAGCACUAAUACACCGGAUCCCAUCAGAACUCCGCAGUUAAGCGUGCUUGGGCGAGAGUAGUACUAAGAUGGAUGACCUCCCGGGAAGUCCUCGUGUCUCAUCCC
rfam:Arabidopsis thaliana chromosome 5, complete sequence.